GACGAACGCUGGCGGCGUGCUUAACACAUGCAAGUCGAACGGAAAGGCCCCUUUGGGGGUACUCGAGUGGCGAACGGGUGAGUAACACGUGAGUAACCUGCCCUUGACUUCGGGAUAACUUCAGGAAACUGGGGCUAAUACCGGAUAGGAAUCCUUGCUGCAUGGUGGGGGUUGGAAAGCUUCGGCGGUUUUGGAUGGACUCGCGGCUUAUCAGCUUGUUGGUGGGGUAGUGGCUUACCAAGGCUUUGACGGGUAGCCGGCCUGAGAGGGCGACCGGCCACAUUGGGACUGGGAUACGGCCCAGACGCCUACGGGAGGCAGCAGUGGGGAAUAUUGCACAAUGGGCGGAAGCCUGAUGCAGCAACGCCGCGUGCGGGAUGACGGCCUUCGGGUUGUAAACCGCUUUCAGCAGGGGCGAAGCUUGUGGUGACGGUACCUGCAGAAGAAGCACCGGCUAACUACGUG
rnacentral:rRNA from 1 species